GAGCAGGCCGCGGAAGCUGGACUGCCGGCGAAUCCCCGACGGGCGGCCCUGGCGCUCGCCGUCAGCGCGGCGCUGCCUCCGUUUUCCCCAGGUCAGCACUAAUGCUAAACAGUGUGAAGAGAUGUCUGCCAAGACUCCAAUCGAAUAUGCAGAUGGAGCUGGCUCCGCUUUCCGGACCUACCGAAUCAAGCAGAGCAAUCGCUGGACCUAACGGCCCUACGGAGAUGGCUUCAGGUAUCCCAUGGCUUCCUUUAAAACAGAAACCAGCACAGAUACAGAAAAAGGAUGGAAGGUGACUCAUCAGAUUAUUAACACUGCCACCUGCAGGCCGGUGUUUGUCAUGACAAUACGACAGACCCACCGCAGCAGGCUGCAGUGAACAAAAUCUAUUUCACUGGAAAAUGUGGCUGAGCACUCAACGCAUUACUUACGAUACGAGGCUUCAGUUUCAACUGUCCUUCUAGCCCAUAAUAUACGAAUAUGACUAUUCUCUGGACUUUUUAACAGCAGAGGCUCAGUGGUCAAUACUAUUGCCAGAUAUCCUCAGGGUUGCGGCUAUCAUUCCUGCUCUGUGAUUUCUGCAAUCCAAAUAGAUGGGCAUCCAUUCACUUCACAGCACUGUGGUCACAGUGAGCCUGGACCCUAUCCCAGGACGGACCGGGCACAGGGCAGAAGACACCUUGGAUGGGAUAAGCAGAGAUAAGCCAGGUUAUAAUAAGCACAGAACAACUUAUGAUAAAUGUUAAACACAAAAACAAUAAAGACCUUUAACACUACAGCAGUACAGUUGGGGCAGCACAGUGUUGCAGUGGUCAGCACUGUUGCCUCACACCACUAGGACCUCGGUUCAAGUCUCUACCCAGCUUCUAUGUGUGUGGAGUUCCUAAGUGCUCCCCGUGUCAUUGUGGGGUUUCCUUCG